GUACGUAGGGGGCUAGCGUUGUCCGGAUUAUUGGGCGUAAAGAGCUCGUAGGCGGUUUGGUAAGUUGGAUGUGAAAUCUCCAGGCUCAACUUGGAGGGGUCAUUCGAUACUGCCAUGACUAGAGUUCGGUAGGGGAGUGUGGGAAUUCCUGGUGGAGCGGUGAAAUGCGCAGGAUGUCAGGAGGAACACCCGUAGCGAAGGCGGCACUCUGGGCCGGGAACUGACGCUGAGGAGCGGAAAGCGUGGGGAGCGAACAGG
rnacentral:rRNA from 1 species